CGCCGCCACCAGAUAGGCCUCGUGGUGCGUCGGCGGCGAGCGCCGCCGCCACCAGGUCGGCCCUGUCGUGCGUCGCCGGCGAGCGACGACGCUACUAGGUCGACGCCGCCGCUACAUCGAGAGAUGCCAGAACCAUUCUCGACGCCAGAUGCUGUCAUGCCUUCAGAGAAUCAGAAGUGAGGACGAAGGAUAUGAGUUCUAUAACGAGCAUGCAAAGGUCAAAAGGUUUAGUAUUCGGAAGGAGGAGGUGAAAUAUUCUCUACCGGGGAAUGGUUCGUGAUGGAUUUUGAGGACAAGCAUAACCAUCCACUCGCUAUGGAAGACCAGUCUGCUUACGUAUUCUCUCACCGCCGGAUGACAGACAGCCAGAAGGCCGAUGUAGUUGGGUAUGGGAUUGGUGGCCAGAAGGCCCCAUGGCAAAGCUUCGCAGUCGGUACCUUUCGCUAAAAUAUCCGAUCACCCAUUGUUGCAAAGUGCUGCCCGUAUUUGUACUCCAGUAAUGUUCAAGAUGGUAAAGGAGCAGAUCAUGAAAUCUGAUGGAUGGGAGAUUGGUGAGGUGACCCAGGGAGAUGGUAAAGGAGCAGAUCAUGAAAUCUGAUAGAAUAACUAUGUUGUAAUAAUGCUGAUGGUGUUCUAGUUAAACUGAAUUUAAUUGGAAGAGUGAUUUCAUGAUGCUUGUUAACUUUUUUAUCAGACAUUCAUGUAAAAUAGUUUGAAAUAAAAUAUAUUUAUGUGAUCUCUCCUCAUGCUUGUUAA